CCUACGGGAGGCAGCAGUGAGGAAUAUUGGUCAAUGGCCGGAAGGCUGAACCAGCCAUGCCGCGUGAAGGUCAGUGCCCUAUGGGCGUUAAACUUCUUUUGUGCGGGAGCAAUAAUGGUCACGUGUGGCCAGACGAGAGUACCGUACGAAUAAGCAUCGGCUAACUCCGUGCCAGCAGCCGCGGUAAUACGGGGGAUGCAAGCGUUAUCCGGAUUUAUUGGGUUUAAAGGGUGCGUAGGCUGUGAGGUAAGUCAGCGGUGAAAUGCCACCGCUUAACGGGGUGAAGUGCCAUUGAUACUGCCUGGCUGGAAUGCGGAUGCGGUGGGAGGAAUGUGUGGUGUAGCGGUGAAAUGCAUAGAUAUCACACAGAACACCGAUUGCGAAGGCAUCUCACGAAUCCGCGAUUGACGCUGAUGCACGAAAGCGUGGGUAUCAAACAGGAUUAGAUACCCUUGUAGUC
rnacentral:rRNA from 1 species